GACGAACGCUGGCGGCGUGCUUAACACAUGCAAGUCGAGCGGAUCGGCUAACGGGUGCGUAACGCGUGAGUACCUUCCCCCCUCUCUGGGAUAACAGUUGGAAACGGCUCCUAAUACCGGAUAGUGGGGGAUGAAUCGCGUUCUAUCAGCUUGUUGGUGGGGUAGUGGCCUACCAAGGCGACGACGGGUAGCCGGCCUGAGAGGGCGACCGGCCACAUUGGGCUGAGAUACGGCCCAAACUCCUACGGGAGGCAGCAGGGGGGAAUAUUGCAAAACGGGGGAAACCUUGAUACAGCAACGCGCGUGCGGGAUGACGGCCUUCGGGUUGUAAACCGCUUUCAGCCAUGACGCGGUAGUGGCAGAAGAAGCACCGGCUAACUACGUGCCAGCCGCCGCGGUAAUUC
rnacentral:rRNA from 1 species